CCUACGGGUGGCAGCAGUAGGGAAUUUUGCGCAAUGGGCGAAAGCCUGACGCAGCAACGCCGCGUGAUCGAGACGCCCUUCGGGGUGUAAAGAUCGGUCAGUGGGGACGAAACUGGACGGUACCCACAGAGGAAGCACCGGCUAACUCCGUGCCCGCAGCCGCGGUAAUACGGGGGGUGCAAGCGUUGUCCGGAAUCAUUGGGGGUAAAGAGGUCGUAGGCGGCAGGUAACAUCUGGUGUUAAAGGCAGGGGCUCAACUUCUGUACGGCCCUGGAUGCUUGCGAGCUAGAAUGCGGUAGAGGUGAAGGGAAUGCCUGGUGUAGCGGUGAAAUGCUUAGAUAUCAGGAGGAACAUCGGUGGCGUAAGCGCUUUACUGGGCCGUAAUUGACGCUGAGGAACGAAAGCCAGGGUAGCAAAUGGGAUUAGAUACCCCAGUAGUC
rnacentral:rRNA from 1 species